GUCCAGGAGUUAGAGUUUUGUUGUUUUUGAUUUUGUUUCUUUUAUUCGAGUCGAUGAGUUUGUUUUGUUCUGAACCCUGCUGUAGUCGAGUUCUGGUUUCGUGUAGAGUUCUUGAGUUUGCUUCUUUGAUUUGAAUUCUGAUUUCUUAUAGCGAGUUUGCCGAGUUUUAGCUGUUAAUUCCAGUGCAUUGUUUUCUUGUUUGAGUCGCUGAGUCCACUGGCGAGUUGCCGAGUUGAUAUCGAGCACUGGCUUGGUAUUGGGUUUCAUUUUGUUUGUUAAUGUUUUCUUGUUCGGUUGUGGAACCGAGUAGCUAAGUUUUAGGUUUAAUUUUGGUGGUUAGUCCGAGUCGAGCUUUGCAGUAGUAUGGUUUUUGUUUGUCCAGUUCUUGCUUGAGUAAGUCCUGCUAGUGGUUGUUGUUUGUCUGUUUUUAUAUGUUUCCUUUUACUUUCGACCAUAGUUUUUUGUGAUUUAACAAACAAUUUUGUUAGUUCUCUUUUCAAAAACAUUAUGCCGAGUGAUUUACGUAGGUGGUUAAAUUGGUUUACACAUGUGUGUACCCUGCUAUGCUAUAAUCUGUAACUUUGUAAUUAGUUUUGGUAAUUAAUUAGUUGUCUUGGUUUCUUCUGGCUAGUCAAAGACAUGCACGAGUCAUGUCCACAUUUGGCAGUUUCGCUUUAAUUGUUUCUAAUAAAUAAUUUACUACUAAUAGUUAGAUUAACUAGUCAAAAGAUUUGGUUAAUUUUCUUUGUAAACUUGACAACUGUUUAGACUUAAUUUCUUAAUUUAGUAAAAACACCACUUCACAUUAAAUUGUUCUAAUUCGCC
rnacentral:lncRNA from 1 species